GCCGUGGUGGAGGAGGUUACAGCGGCAGCGGUGGACAAUUUGGCUGGUUGGAUCUUAUUUGUGCGCUCGUAUUGUGUGUUUUAUGUAGAGCCAGUAGGACGUGGAGGGUCGCUCUUAGUCGUCAAGAGGUUCGUCUCUUUCUGAUGUGUUUGCAUACAAAUACAAAAGUUUACAGUUUGCCAACGUCGUUCGUUCUAGCAAUUUUCUAUCUACUAAAUCAUAAGCAUAUUAGUUGUUUGGCAUAGUACAUCAAAUGCAGAAUCUAAUUAAUGGACUAGAAAAAAUAUGAUCAGUUGUGCUAUGAAUGGUUUCUCUCUGUUUCCUAGAUGCAGAUCAUGGCUCUUAUUCUUUGCCGGUUUAAAUCGAUUGUAGUGACUUGUUUAGUUCUGAUCUACAGCCUUUUGAGAGAUACAUAUCUGGGUUUGUAUAUUUGUCCAUUUCAUAUGUCAAUGUAUUACCUUGUCAGACAACUUUAAGAUUUCUAAAAUUGCCAAAACGAUUGGAAGAUCAAACAUCGAGAAUUCACUUUCUACAAGUGGAACAAUUGCAUAUCAAUGCAUUGAUCUAUUGACAUGUGCCCAUAUUUCUAUUUAUUUGUCUUCAAGUUCUAGAUAUCUCUCUUAUUCUGAUUUCUGUAGACACAAUUUGCUGCAGAUUUCUGUUUUCAAAUUGUUCCGGUACCAUGUUCCAUUAGCACUAAUAUUUUAUUUUAAUUAAAAAGGAUCUAGCUUAGCAUGAGUGAAAAGAUAUUUAAGUUAGUUUAAAAUAAUCUGACUUAGCAUGAGUGAAAAUACAUGUGAGUCAUUUCUAUGACUUCUACUGUUGAAACAUGUGGUAUGUAGCAUGUCUAAAAUAACAAUAUGCAACUUUCAUGAAUUAUGCAAUUUUUAAGCAGCAUGACAUGUGAGGACUGGUUUUUCUGUUUCAAUGAAGGGGGCACCACGACAGGUGGUGGCGGGCGCGGGGGUGGACACGAAGGCAAUUGGGUUUGCCCUGACGUGAGGUUCGUUUCCAUUAUCGUGUUCAUGGAUUUUCUGUUGGACUAGAUUCAAGAUUUGCUGAAUCAUGUUAUUCUAUACUGGCAUGUGUGAGUUUUGGCGUGUAGACUCGACUCAAGUAAAACUGCUUCAAGAUGUUCUUUGCAGUGUUUGGGUGAUUGAAUCAUUAUGCUUUCGGAUUAUGAUUUGCAUGUAGCACGCAGACUGUUACUAUUCUGGAUUGACCAUUAUCAUUCACAUUCCUUUUUUUCCUUCAUCUUUUACGUCAUGUAGUUACACAAGAACAACUUGAUCAUGCUAAAGAAGCAACCAAAUCUGCAAUUUUGAUGAACUUGGAUCAAGGGUACAAUGUUCUUGCUCCUAAUCAAAUCCUAAUUGUAUGACCUGUUUCCCUAAAGUGUUCUUUACAGUACAUACUUUUCCUAUUUUGUAAUCCAUAGCAUCUAAAGAUAAAGACAAGUUUAAAAUAGGAGAUGUGACUAGGUUGAUUAUUAUUGAAACAAUGUUCACUCUCCACUAUUAUGGUGAA
rnacentral:lncRNA from 1 species